rnacentral:rRNA from 1 species
CCUACGGGUGGCAGCAGUAGGGAAUUUUCGGCAAUGGGGGGAACUCUGACCGAGCAACGUCGCGUGAAGGAAGAAGGACUUCGUGCUGUAAACCUCUGUUAUAAAGGAAGAAAGACGGAUGGAGGAAAUGACAUCCGAGUGACGGUACUUUAUGAGAAAGCCACGGCAAACUACGUGCCAGCAGCCGCGGUAAUACGUAGGUGGCAAGCGUUAUCCGGAUUUAUUGGGCGUAAAGAGGGGGCAGGCGUCAGCAAAGGUCUGUGGUGAAUGACUGAAGCUUAACUUCAGUAAGCCAUAGAAACCGGACAGCUAGAGUGCAGGAGAGGAUGGUGGAAUUCGAUGUGUAGCGGUGAAAUGCGUAGAUAUAUGGAGGAACACCAGUGGCGAAGGCGACGAUCUGGCCUGCAACUGACGCUGAGGCCCGAAAGCGUGGGGAGCAAAUAGGAUUAGAUACCCUUGUAGUC